UGCAGUCGAACGCCCUCUUUUAGAGGGAGUGGCGCACGGGUGCGUAACGCGUGGGAACCUGCCCUUAGGUUCGGAAUAACUCAGAGAAAUUUGAGCUAAUACCGGAUAAUGUCUUCGGACCAAAGAUUUAUCGCCUUUGGAUGGGCCCGCGUAGGAUUAGAUAGUUGGUGGGGUAAUGGCCUACCAAGUCGACGAUCCUUAGCUGGUCUGAGAGGAUGAUCAGCCACACUGGGACUGAGACACGGCCCAGACUCCUACGGGAGGCAGCAGUGGGGAAUAUUGGACAAUGGGCGAAAGCCUGAUCCAGCAAUGCCGCGUGAGUGAUGAAGGCCUUAGGGUUGUAAAGCUCUUUUACCAGGGAUGAUAAUGACAGUACCUGGAGAAUAAGCUCCGGCUAACUCCGUGCCAGCAGCCGCGGUAAUACGGAGGGAGCUAGCGUUGUUC
rnacentral:rRNA from 1 species